rnacentral:tRNA from 1 species
GGUGUGGCCAAGUGGUAAGGCGAUAGACUCUGACUCUAUUAUUCGUAGGUUCAAAUCCUGCCAC